UUUUAAUGUAAGUAUUCCGGCUGUGACUUUGUGUUCAUGACGCACUCCAUUGGUUUGCAAUAGUACAGAAAAUCUCCUUGAAAUUCUCAAUUCUAAGAUAAAUUUCUUUCACGGAUGUAUAAAGUAAUCCUCGGAAGAAACAAUAUCGAAAAAAGACAUUGAAGGGUGAAUAAUUGACCUUCAUCAAACGAACAUGAACAGAUUUUUCAGGUAUAUUUGUGAAGCUCUAAUUAUAAUAUCGAAUGCUUGGUGGAAAAGGAGUAUUUGGCUGGGGCUACUCGUCAAUUUUUAAUUCUCUCGUCCAUCUCACCUCAGGUAAGGGAUGAAAAAUGCCUCCAGGCGAAUCAAAUUCCCGAGCAACAGCUUGUGGAAUCUCAAUGGAUUUUCGCUUCAUCUUUUACUCUAUCCAUCGUUUCAUACACAUGUGACAAAUUGCUGACCGCUCGGAUUGUGGCAUAAUGUAAUGCUAUUGACCCAAAUUAUUUCAAAAUCAAUGAAUAAAUAACUUUUAUGUGUCAAAA